AACGAACGCUGGCGGCGUGGAUAAGACAUGCAAGUCGAACGGGACAGCCCGAGUAGCAAUAUUUGGAAUGUUCAGUGGCGAACGGGUGCGUAACACGUGGAUAACAUUCCGGAAAGCGGGGAAUAGCCCAGGGAAACUUGGAUUAAUACCGCAUGUGGCCGCAAGGCUAAAGACGGGGACCACAAGGCCUGUCACUUUCCGAUUGGUCCGCGGCCUAUCAGCUAGUUGGCGGGGUAAUGGCCCACCAAGGCUACGACGGGUAGCUGGGCUUAGAGGACGACCAGCCACACUGGAACUGCGACACGGUCCAGACACCUACGGGUGGCAGCAGUCGAGAAUCUUUCACAAUGGGGGCAACCCUGAUGGAGCGACGCCGCGUGGAGGAUAAGGUCUUCGGAUUGUAAACUCCUGUCAUGCGAGAACAAGGUACUCAGGCUAAUAACCUGAUUGUUUGAUGGUACCGCAAGAGGAAGGGACGGCUAACUCUGUGCCAGCAGCCGCAGUAACAC
rnacentral:rRNA from 1 species